rnacentral:misc_RNA from 1 species
GUUGGUGAACCAGCGGAGGGAUCAUUACCGAGUUACCAACUCCAAACCCUUGUGAUUUCUAUAUCUGUUGCUUCGGCAGGCGGGCCCAGGGCGGGCUCUAUCAUGCCUGCCGAAAGACCAAACUCUUCUAUCCUGCCUUCUGAAGAAAAGACAAAUAGUUAAAACUUUCAACAACGGAUCUCUUGGUUCUG